GUAGGGAAUAUUGGACAAUGGGCGAAAGCCUGAUCCAGCCAUGCCGCGUGAUAGAUGAAGGCCCUCUGGGUUGUAAAUAUCUUUUAUCUGGGAAGAAACUCCUCUAUUCUUAGAGGCCUGACGGUACCAGAGGAAUAAGCACCGGCUAACUCCGUGCCAGCAGCCGCGGUAAUACGGAGGGUGCAAGCGUUAUCCGGAUUCACUGGGUUUAAAGGGUGCGUAGGCGGGUUGAUAAGUCAGUGGUGAAAGCUCCGGGCUUAACUUGGAAACUGCCAUUGUUACUGUCAGUCUUGAAUGUCGUAGAGGUAAGCGGAAUGUUGCAUGUAGCGGUGAAAUGCUUAGAUAUGUUACAGAACACCAAUUGCGAAGGCAGCUUACUAUGCGAUAAUUGACGCUGAGGCACGAAAGCGUGGGGAGCAAACAGGAUUAGAUACCCGGGUAGUCC
rnacentral:rRNA from 1 species